CCAACUUUGGUCUCUGUCUGUAUGAUGUGCACCUGCUUUGCACAGUCAUACAAUGUUUAGCUGUCAGAUGUUUGUAAUGGCAAACUAUCAGAUAAUCAACAUCUUUUGUAAGACAGACAAGGUCACUGUCAGGCAGAACUAAGGAGCCAAUGAGUUGCAGCAAUGCAAACAGAGGGGUGGAGUUGGAGUGGGCCUAUUUGCUUUGAAUAGUCCAAACAUCCGAGACCUUGGGUCAGAGACUGGACAUAACCUGUGACGCCCCUAUGCUGCAGACCAGCGAAAGAAACGUGUGCCUGCUCCAUCUCUACCUGGAUCAAGUUCAAUCUCUACGUGCCACUGGCAGGAAACAGUACUGAGGUAUUGCUCUCAUAAUUGGAAGCUCACCUGCCAUCCUGUCCCUGUUUCUCUACAAGUCAGCUUCAUCUGUCUACAAAAACCCGCAUGCAGUAUGUGUGAAGCAGAGAGUGCAGUUCACACUGAAGGUGUCUCCAUCAUCAAACUACCUCAUCCCUCCGAGUCCCUGCCAAAACAAUGGCUAUGGAAAUGCAAACAUGUCCGUGGCCUGAUCCGUAAGAGUGGACCUCAUCUGGACAGGCAGUGCCUCCUGCUGGUGGGCCUGGUGCUGGUGGCUCUGUGCGGCAUGGUCCUGCUUCUGUUAUGGAACUAUCAGUGCUUCAUAGUCACGCAAGUGUGCCAGGACCAGGAUAACAGCUUCGUCCACUUUGCCACCAAAGAGGAGGGGCCUUCUUCACAUGAACAAGCUUGAGGGAAGGCCAGCUGUUCAUGAAAAGAGUCAUUUCAAACAGGGUCAGACAGAGAGAGGCAGAGAGAGACAAAGAGAGAGAGCUUUUCAUCAAACAAUCAAGGCAACUGAGGGGUCUGUGUGAGAUCCUAUUCACUACUUAAUUUAAAUGACCCACUGACCCGAAUGACGUUGACUGAUAAUGCAUGGGCAUAUGUUAUAUAUGUGAACUACAUUUCAAAUACAAUGUGUUAUAUUUUUAAAUACAUUCCAAGCACAACAAUACAUUAAAAAAAAAGUUUUUUUGUCA